AUGGGAGAGGAGCUCCCCGAAGCCGGCGCCGUGCUCCUCCAACACCUGGCCUCGACUGGAGUAGCCCUGUCGGCAACCAGCAGCACCACCAGGCUGCCCUCUCCUUUCCCCUAUGCAGGAGCUCGCAGCCACCACCAUGCGCCACCAUGCCUCCCCUGCAACUGCUCUUCGGCAACCCGUUCGAUCUCCUCUGCCUCGCUGGCCUCUAGCGUGACCGAGCACCCGUGCAGCCGCAUGUGUUGUUUGACUCUGCUGCAAGGCCCAGCCAGCGCCCUGUCGGUCUGCCUCCGCUCAAGCUGCCGACCAUCUCCUGCCGCUGACCACCACCAUCGCCUCCUUGUUGCUAGUAUCCCGAGACCCCUUGUGUUGUUUUGUGUUGUACCGUCAAGGCCGGCAAGAUCGACUAAAACGGCGCCAAGUUCCAUAACCAACGACCGUCUUGGGAUUCACCAAGUACACCGUCAACAAGACAUUGGAUACCCUAACGAGUGCAUACCGAAAUGCCAAGUACCACUAUCCAUCUUCGAGGAUUUCAUCAAGUACCGUACCGGACCCGUCAAGUACAACCACACCAUGUUGAUACGGGAACCACUACCAUCGACCUCCGAAGAACAUGGUUUCACCGAGUACCCCUUCGUUUUGUCAAGACCGUCAAGUCCCUCGACGACAAGUGCACGACUACGCGGCUUGUACCAAGUACCUCUUCGUUUCGGCGAGACCGGCAAGUCCCAAGACCCCAAGUACCCUGAUAACCCCGAAGGGAUUCUAACCCGUCAAGUUCCUCUUCCAAUGACUCGAAUGGCCACGAAACGUGUACCAGUACUGUCGACCUGGGAAGACCCCAUGGACGUCAAGUUCCGUGUCAUGACCCUGAACAUCUACGAACAUGAACAACUACUUCCUCUUCGACUCGAGAAUCACUACUUCCGCUACCAUCGAACCCAAUCCGCUCCGAAGAUGAACGCUUUGAAGGUAUAA
rnacentral:rRNA from 1 species